CCCUUAGAUGUUCUGGGCUGCACGCGCGCUACACUGAUGCAUGCAACGAGUUUUCGACCUUGCCUGAAAAGGUUGGGUAAUCUGUUUAACAUGUGUCGUGGUGGGGAUAGACCAUUGCAAUUAUUGAUCUUCAACGAGGAAUUCCUAGUAAGCGCGAGUCAUCAGCUCGUGCUGAUUAUGUCCCUGCCCUUUGUACACACCGCCCGUCGCUCCUACCGAUUGAGUGAUCCGGCGAAUGAUUCGGACCAGCGUGCUGCUCAGAUCCUGCGCAGUGUGCUGGGAAGUCUAGUGAACCUUAUCACUUAGAGGAAGGAGAAGUCGUAACA
rnacentral:rRNA from 1 species